GGAGAGGGUGUAGCUCAGUGGUAGAGCGUGUGCUUAGCAUGCACGAGGUCUUGGGUUCAAUUCCCAGUACCUCCA
rnacentral:tRNA from 1 species